rnacentral:tRNA from 1 species
GGGGUUGUGGCUCAGUGGUAGAGCACUCACCUAGAUUGUGAGAUGCCCUGGGUUUGAUCCUCAGCACCA